rnacentral:rRNA from 1 species
AAUUCGAUUAGUUUGAUCCUGGCUCAGGACGAACGCUGGCGGCGUGCUUAAUACAUGCAAGUCGAACGAGGCCGAGUCAGUGGCAACGCUGACGAACGCCUAGUGGCGAACGGGUGAGUAACACGUGAGGAACCUGCCCCGAAGACCGGGAUAACCCUCCGAAAGGAGAGCUAAUACCGGAUACCCCCAUCAGACCGCAUGAUUUGAUGAGGAAAUGGAUUCCGCUUCGGGAGGGUCUCGCGGCCUAUCAGCUUGUUGGUGGGGUAACGGCCCACCAAGGCAUCGACGGGUAGCUGGUCUGAGAGGACGAUCAGCCACACUGGGACUGAGACACGGCCCAGACUCCUACGGGUGGCAGCAGUAGGGAAUCUUGCGCAAUAGGCGUAAGCCUGACGCAGCAACGCCGCGUGGGGGAUGAAGGCUCUCGGGUUGUAAACCCCUUUCAGUGGGGACGAAUCAAGACGGUACCCACAGAAGAAGCUCCGGCUAACUACGUGCCAGCAGCCGCGGUAACACGUAGGGGGCAAGCGUUGUCCGGAUUUAUUGGGCGUAAAGAGCUCGUAGGUGGCUCGGCAAGUCGGGUGUUAAACCCCCAGGCUCAACCUGGGGACGCCACUCGAUACUGCUGUGGCUAGAGUCCGGUAGGGGAGCGUGGAAUUCCUGGUGUAGCGGUGAAAUGCGCAGAUAUCAGGAGGAACACCAGCGGCGAAGGCGGCGCUCUGGGCCGGUACUGACACUGAGGAGCGAAAGCGUGGGUAGCAAACAGGAUUAGAU